rnacentral:rRNA from 1 species
GCUUAGGGCCAUACCACCCUGAGAACGCCCGAUCUCGUCCGAUCUCGGAAGCUAAGCAGGGUCGGGCCUGGUUAGUACUUGGAUGGGAGACCGCCUGGGAAUACCAGGUGCUGUAAGCU